GGGGCUCCCCGCCCAGGCCACACACGGUGCCUCCCUGUGCCCAGUGACCGUGCGACCCCAGCCCUCAACCCGGUGGCCGGCCGGGAACCCAGGGUGUCUCUGGGACCUUCAGUUGCGCGGCUGCGGACUGUGCACCAGCGUGGGCUGGUCUGUGCGCCUCGGCGGAGCCUGAGAUCCGACCUCACUUCACGGGGCCAAGCCAGAUGCAGGGACUAAAAUGGGCUUGUGGGCGCGGGAGGAGCAUCACUGGGCCCCGUGCGAGCCGGUGGCCCUGGUGUGAGUCGCAUUUCAGCCCUCGCCUCUCCUCCCUGGGCCCAUCUCUGCCCCCGCCUGGAAAAUGCUCCACAUGUUGGAUUUCUUCUGGAAAAGCCACGGAAACGAGGUGGGAGCCGCAGACAGCCCGAUGGCGGCAGGGCUGCUCAUUGGGGGCCCCAGGAGCUGUGGCCUGUGCCCCCCCUCCGGGCGGACCCUGAGGAGCAAACAGCCUGUGCGCCCCCCGGGUGGGGCCCCCGAGGAGCAGUGGCCCAUGCACCCCCCACCCCGUGGGGACCCCGAGGAGCAGCGGCAUGUGCGCCCCCCGGGUGCAGCCCUGAGCCAGGCCCCGCGCCCCACCACCGCUGGCGGCCUGCACAGAGCCAGCGAGAGGCAGAGGGGACACGUCGCCGAGAGCCCUGCCCACCCUCCAUCUGUGCCCGUGUCAGGGCUUACGGAGCAUAUGCUGCCUGUUGCUCACUGACCAUCUGCUCCCGAGCUGAUGAAGUGUCCCCGUUACCGUGGCAACAGAGUCCUUGAUUGGCGGUGGCACCACAAACAUUCCCUGCUCAGGUGCCCCAGGGAGUUGAGCUGACCAGGCAGGGCCCGUCGGGCUUUCCCUGCACCUGGAGGCUCCCGGGGCAGGCGCCCUCCUGAGUCCUCCGCUUCCUGCCUGGGUGACCGUCCGCAAAGCAGGCAGGUGUCCCCUCCACUGAGGCAUCGGUCACCUGCCGAGGGACACACAUCAAAGACCCAUUUCCAGCUCACGUGGGUACGGUUCUGGCUGCGCCGCUUCCCCGUCUGUUCCAAGCACGGAAGCAGAAAGCUCCCCUCGGUUAUUUUUGGGGUGUAACUGACACUCCGUGUCCCGCGUGUCAGGGUGCAACAUACUGAUUCAACUUCCAGUGUGUUUCAGUGAAGCAAGCAGAACUUUGACAACAAAGAAAUCAGUAAAUAGAAGAGCAUCGAUUGAUCUAAUAUAUAAGUAAUGGUGGAAAUCUAACCUGGCAGUGUGCGGAAAGGAGCAUAUACUGUGACCAAGCGUUUUUUUCCAGUGGAGCAGGACUAGCCCAAUAUCAGACCUACUGAUGUAAACCACCGUUUAAUAGAACAAAAAGGAAGAACACGAUCAUCUCCACAGAUGCUGACAAAACACUGGAUGGAUUCAACGUUCAUUCUCUUUUUAAAAUGCCCCCAGUGAAACAGUGAUUGAUAAACACGUCCUUAAUGGCACGACGGUGUGUCCCAACCUGAAAGCCACGCGGUGCCACUGCCUCCCCGGGGGGUUGAGGCCCCGGAGCUGACUUGGUGUCAGUGUCAGAACCACACGAAACCCCUAGGGACACAGCUGAAGGAAAUGUGCAAACAUGUAAGAGAAUUUGGGGGGCUGUAUAAAAUCAGAAAUAAGGCCCGCUAGGAAUCCCCUGGAAGGAGAGACUCCAUUUAUCAGGACCCAACAGCCACGAGUGUGCCAGAAGGGAUCGGGGUGCUCCACUGCAAGAAAGCACGCACAGGUGUGCACAGAGAUGCACACACGUGCACGCACACGCAUCAAGCAGCCGCACAGGUGCCCACAGCCGGGCAGCCUCCCAGGACAGGCUCCAGCCCUUCCCUCCUGUGGCUUCCUGGACUCCAUGGCUGAGGGGACCCCGUGCCCUCCGCCCAGCCCCACAUGCUGACGGGUGCGGCCGGCCCGGAGGUGCAGGGAACACAAACCGGGCAUCUGGAAGAGACUCAGGAGAGCGAAGAAUGGGACCAACCAGGAGGAAUGGCCCGCAGACCCCAGCUCCCGCCGGGAGGUGCCCCCUGAAGGGGGCGGGCGACUCGGCCGGACUGCGCAGGGCGGGUGGCAGGGCUGGCCUUGGGCACAGGAGCCACGGCCUGGUGGCCCUGCAUACACGCUCUGCAGCCUCGUCCCACCGGCCUGGCUGUGGCCCCAUUAGCCCUGCUGGCCACGUGCUGGGUCCUUCCUGGCCGGGCGCCCUCCCACCACUCCUCUCACCCACGUCCUCCCUCCGUUCUUGGUGCCGGGCCGUCGAGGCCACCGCAGGGACGUCUCCCAGGGCGGCAGGGUUCCCUCGGAUGGCCCAGGCCCCGGGGCUGCACUGCCCCCUCCCCGGGCCCCAGCCACUGCGGCUUUCUGAGCAGUCUUCCCGCCAGGGCCCGGGUGGGGGAGCAGCCUGGCGCUGACCCGCCGGGAUGAGCACAGUCAGGACGUGGAAGGCCAGCGACAGGACCGCUGCACAGGCCGGCUUGCAGACUGGCUGUGUGACCGUCGGCCAGGAACUCGUCCUCCCUGGGCCUGUCUCCUCGGCUCGGAAGGAGGACCCAAGCCACGGGAGGCCCGUGCGAGGACGUCCGUGCAGCGGGUUAACAGUCCCUCAAGCAGCACGAGGCUCUUCCUUCCCCAGGGAGCCCCGCGUGGAGCCCCCAGUGCAGGAGCACAGCUCAGUGGCACCGGGAACCACAGGCGAGUCGCAGUCCUUGCUUUGUCAGCUGAGCUGCUGCCCCGAGGACAGGAGCAGGGCCCUCUGCAGGCCGCGGCCGCUCCGGGGUGCAAAAACAGCUGGGGGAUAAAAAAAAAAAAAAAAAAAAAAAAACAGCUGGGGGCCCCAGGAGCCGGCCCCGCGGGCCGGCGUCCACCUCGGUCACCUCGCUGACUCCGGCAGAGGCGCGGCUACUGCUCUCGUGCCCAAAGCACCGUAUUGCACCAGAGGUUCGGUGUGUUGCCGCGAUCUCGGGAUGAGGGCGGUGCGGCCCCUCGACGGGGGCCUCGGUGUUCUCUGCUCGCCUCCCACCCUUCCGGCAGAUCCUCAAACUCAGGAAUUGUGAGAAUGCUUUAGGCUGUUAAAGUGCCAAUUCAGUGAGCUUAA